rnacentral:lncRNA from 1 species
CAUCGGUGUGGUUUGGUGCAAAAUUGCACCAAUUUUCAAAAAUCGAUAACUGAAUCGAACCUUAACUGGAGGACAGAACCGCACCAAUCCCGAAGUCUCAACCGAACCAAAGAAACUGUCGGUUCUGGCCGGUUGGACCGAACCGCAUGCCUUUGUGUAUUAACCAAAUUUCCAGAUUUUCACAACCUUAAGAACACCAAAUUCAAAUAACGCCAAAUGCAACUUUAAGGCUAAAUUUCUAGAUUUUCAUAUUUUUCACUAUCAAAUAUCAAAUAUUAAUCAAAUUAAGAACACCAAAUACAAAGAAUCAAAAUAAGAACACAAUUGUUACUGUUGUGUCCCGCCGCGUGUUGCGCCGCACCCGUAGAGAGGAAGCUGUGCAGCGUCGGUGGAGGGAGGAGUUGUGCCGCGCCGGGGUUUCUGGCAGGAAAACN